rnacentral:rRNA from 1 species
GACGUGAGGGGCGAGCGUUACUCGGAAUCACUGGGCGUAAAGGACACGCAGGCGGCCAUACAAGUCAAGUGUUAAAGACCGAGGCUUAACCUCGGGAAGGCACUUGAUACUGUAUGGCUUGGUGCUAGGGGAGGGAGGUGGAAUGCCCGGUGUAAGGGUAAAAUCUGUAGAUAUCGGGUAGAACGCCGAAGGCGAAGGCAGCCUCCUAUCCUAGUCACGACGCUCAGGUGUGAAAGCUGGGGGAGCAAACAGG